AGCAGUCGCCGCGGGAAUACGUAGGGUGCAAGCGUUAAUCGGAAUUACUGGGCGUAAAGCGUGCGCAGGCGGUUAUAUAAGACAGAUGUGAAAUCCCCGGGCUCAACCUGAGAACUGCAUUUGUGACUGUAUAGCUAGAGUACGGCAGAGGGGGAUGGAAUUCCGCGUGUAGCAGUGAAAUGCGUAGAUAUGCGGAGGAACACCGAUGGCGAAGGCAAUCCCCUGGGCCUGUACUGACGCUCAUGCACGAAAGCGUGGGGAGCAAACAGGAUUAGAUACCCCCGUAGUCCCUGUCUCUUAUAU
rnacentral:rRNA from 1 species